GCGCUCCUCAGUACGAGA
rnacentral:misc_RNA from 1 species